ensembl:misc_RNA 7SK 7SK RNA
UCAUAUGAGGGCGAUCUGGCUGCAACAUCUGUCAUCCCAUUGAUCGCCAGGGUUGAUUUGGCUGCCUAGGCAGGUGUCCUCUUCCUCCCUCACUACUCCAUGUGUGUCCCUCCCGAAGCUGUGUGCUCUGGUGAAGAGGAACUGUCUUCUCAAAAUAGAGACUAGAGACAGGCUGAUGGGUAUAUGAGUAGCUACGCUCCCUGCUAAAACCUCCAAACAGACUCUGCUUCCACACUUGUGAAGCUUCUCUAGUGCAGGUGGGGGCUGGUGACUUAUACCUGGUUCUAUAAUCCUUCUGUAUUGGAACAUGUAUGCUCAACCAUGUGUACCAAUGACU